CGAACGGGUGAGUAAUACAUCGGAACGUGCCCAGUCUGGGGGAUAACUACUCGAAAGAGUAGCUAAUACCGCAUACGAUCUGAGGAUGAAAGCGGGGGACCUUCGGGCCUCGCGCGAUUGGAGCGGCCGAUGGCAGAUUAGGUAGUUGGUGGGAUAAAAGCUUACCAAGCCGACGAUCUGUAGCUGGUCUGAGAGGACGACCAGCCACACUGGGACUGAGACACGGCCCAGACUCCUACGGGAGGCAGCAGAC
rnacentral:rRNA from 1 species